CGUGAGCAACCCGCCUCGAAGUCCGGGAUAGCCUCGGGAAAACCGAGAUUAAUACCGGAAGUGGCUCGUAUUUCCGCACGGUUUUACAGCUGAAGUUUUUUCGCUUCGAGAUGGGCUCGCGUUCCAUCAGCUAGUUGGUGAGGUAACGGCUCACCAAGGCAGCGACGGAUAGGUGGUCUGAGAGGAUGGUCACCCACACUGGGACUGAGACACUGCCCAGACUCCUACGGGAGGCUGCAGUCGAGAAUCUUCCGCAAUGCGCGAAAGCGUGACGGAGCGAUGCCGCGUGCCGGAUGAAGGCCUUCGGGUCGUAAACGGCUGUCACCCGGAACGAAUAUUGACGGUACCGGGAGAGGAAGCCACGGCUAACUACGUGCCAGCAGCCGCGGUAAUACGUAGGCGGCUAGCGUUAUUCGGAUUUAUUGGGCGUAAAGGGUUCGUAGGGGGCCGAGUAAGUCUGAUGUGAAAUCCAACGGCUCAACCGUUGAACUGCAUUGGAUACUGCCCGGCUAGAGUACUGGAGAGGUAAGCAGAAUUCCUGGCGUAGCGGUGGAAUGCGUAGAUAUCAGGAGGAAUACCGACGGCGAAGGCAGCUUACUGGACAGUUACUGACCCUCAUGAACGAAAGCUAGGGGAGCAAACAGGAUUAGAUACCCUGGUAGUCCUAGCUGUAAACGUUGUUCACUAGAUGUAGGCGGAUUGGUCCCGUCUGUGUCCAAGCUAACGUGAUAAGUGAACCGCCUGGGGAGUACGGCCGCAAGGCUAAAACUCAAAGGAAUUGACGGGGGCCCGCACAAGCGGUGGAGCAUGUGGCUUAAUUCGAGGCAACGCGAAGAACCUUACCUGGGUUUGACAUAUAUCUGACCGCCAUGGAAACAUGGUUUCUCUUCGGAGCGGAUAUACAGAUGCUGCAUGGCUGUCGUCAGCUCGUGCCGUGAGGUGUUCGGUUAAGUCCGGCAACGAGCGCAACCCGUGAUGUUAGUUACCAGCGAGUAAUGUCGGGGAGUUUAGCAGGACUGCCCGUGCUAAGCGGGAGGAAGGCGCGGAAGAUGUCAAGUCAGUAUGGCUCUUACACCCAGG
rnacentral:rRNA from 1 species